UGUGGAAGGGGUGAUGCCGGCGGGCAGAACACAGCUCAGGGGUUACGGGUGCGAUCGAGCUGUUGGUAGCAGGAGGUGUUGGUCAGGGCAGUAAACCCCCCGCAGUUCACCUGCACACUCAGGGUCCGUGCUGGAGCAGCAGCAGUGCGACACAGCCUGACUGUCCCUGAAGGAGCACAGGGACAUGCUGGCACACCUGUGGCUUCAGAAAGUCCCUCACAGGGCUCUUGGUUUCCACAGGUGCGUGUAUAAUCCUGUAGCCUUUGCAGGUAGCAGCCACUGCCUUCUUGGCAUGAUCCAAGUUACAGAGUGUCUUGUUGAUGCUCCUGUGUGGCCUUCUGCAGAUUUGACCAGGUGUCAGUGCCCCUGAUAUAUCAGUCUUAGUGGUUUCAACAGUGCUGCCAGACUUUGGUGCUUAUCACUUGGGAGACAUUCACACCCACCUCUCAACACAAACCUUCUCUGCUUGGCCUGCAGGGACCUUAAAGAUCACCCCAUUGGACUCCCUGCCAUAGGCAAGGACACCUUCCACUAGACCAGAUUGCUCAGAGCUCCAUCCAGCCUGGCAGUGAAUGCUUACAGGAAUGUGGCAGCCACAGCUUCUCUGGGCAACCUCUGGGGAAUCUGGUGAAGGCUGAGUGGAAACCAGAGCAGGGCAUCGUGGAGCUGAAGUCCCCUGCGGGAAAGUUCUGGCACACCAUGGGGUUCUCAGAACGAGGCAAACAAUGUCUGCUGCCCGAGGAAGCUCUGUACCUGCUGGAGUGUGGCUCUGUCCAGCUCUUUUACAGAGAUGUGCCCCUGUCAAUCCAGGAAGCCUAUGAGACCCUGUUGUGCCAGGAGGCAAUGAGCCUGUCACAUUACCAGGUGUUCAGCCACUUGAAGCAACUGGGUUAUAUUGUACUGAGAUUCAACCCCAGCACUGUCCUGUCUUCCUACGAGAGGCAGCUGAACUUGGAAGGUCACUGCAAGAGCUCUGGGAAACACCAUCGCAAGAGGAGGAGAAGUUCCAGCCCCCGGUUGCAUGAGAAGAAACAUAAAGUAUAUGAGGACCUUCCAGAAGCUGAAGGGACCUCCAGCAAAGAUGGAGAUGACUAUGGAGACUCCAUUCCAGUGAAUGAAAAGCCCUUGUCAGUGCAGCCAAAGGAAUCAGAUGCUGACAGUGCAGAGGGGGAGUCAAUGCCAGUUCCUCUUGAUACAGGACAAAAGGACUCUCUGAGCUUCUCCAGCAGGCAGGCUGGAGGCCACAAGGAGAGCAGCACUGGCACCCAUGCACCCCGCUGGGAUUUUACCACCAUCACCUUUCCCAACAUGGCCUCAGACCAGCCAUGCACACAUCUGCCCUCCCCUGACAGCAGGCUCUUGCCAGAGAAUGUGCCAGGCAGGGAUGUGGAUGCAGCUUCCUGGUGCACACAGAUCAACCUGAAACAGGAGAAGCUGUCACGGAAGGAGAGGAGGCAGCAGGAGAGGGAGAGCAGGUACACUAGCAGUGUCAAUGCCGACCAGGAGGUGAGACGCUGCUCCAACUGGCAGGAGUACAAAGCCCUCUUGGAGCAGAGGAGACAGCAGAGGCUUUGGAAGAGACCUUCACACCUCUGGGACCAAGCUGUCACACCACUGCUGCGGCCAGAAGAAGUGACCUCGCCAGCUGCGCUCCUCGAGCAGAUUAGUGUGCUGCAGCCCUCCCACAUCCUGGAUGGAGCCUCCUGGCUGCAGGAGGACCCAGAGGCCAUGAAGAUAGACUUCAACGUGUAUCAAGCAGAUGCUGUGUCCAAGUUUAAGAAGACAAACCCUGGGAAGCCCCAUGUCAGGAUGUGUGUUCGGAGUUCCUCAUCCUUUGUUGGAGGCUGUGGUGACAGUUGUCCCCUCUUCCCCCUGCCCUUGCAUUCAACCCACACUGUUUGGCCAUCUGGUUGCUGCUCAUGUCUGAGUAUCACUGGGAGUCAGGAGACUCCCAGUGAUACUCAGAAAGAAGCCACAGCUUUUAUGCAAUGCUUGUGAAAUUCAGGUAGAACCCAGUGCUACGGGAGCUGAAUCCUCAGUCAGUGCAGAUCACUGUGGAAUUCUGCAGAGAUGAACCUCCCCAGAACUUGCUACAGGCUCUGAGCCAUAAGUUCAGUGUUUUGAUCUUUGUCAAGUGUAAUUUUCAAAUCACUAAGAACAGAGGGUAGGUGUCCCCUUUCUGCUGGAUCAAGAACUGAUACUAGAACUCCGUAGCUAGGUACAAAGUUCAGUUUCUGCCUUUUCUCAUUUUGCUUCAUUAAAACUGUCCCUCUGCUCUCUGCAGCUGUAGUAGACAGGGCAAGGAAGGUGGUAAUGCAGUUUUACCAAGGUAUGUCAUGAGCCAGUAGAAUGAUCCUUGUUGCCUAAAUAUUUUCAAUGAUGAGCAAACAGACUCUGCAGAAUUAGAAGGAGGGAAAAGCAGGUCAGAUGUUGCUCCCAGCAACCUAAAGAUCUUCCCAGCACAAAGGCAUUAAGAUUGCAGUGGAUUGACCAUUUGCCAGUAUCCCUGUGAGCUACAUCUAAUGAGCACAGUGUGGAGCAGUGUUAAGUUAUCUUUGUUUUUGGCAAAGGAUUCAACAGCUCCCAGUUCCAGGCAUGCUGGGUACUCUCAGGGCUGGCAGGACUGCAGCUUUGAUGAGCAGAUCCCCUCCCUGCGGGCUUUGAAGCGGGUGACGUAUUUGAGUGGGGACGUCCCUCUGGUCUUUGCACUGGUGGAUCAUGGAGAAAUUACCUUCUAUUCACUGAAGGAGUUCAAGCUGCCCAUUGAUGUUUAUCACUGAAGUUCCUGUCACUUGCAGAAA